UACGGGGGGGAGCAAGCGUUGUCCGGAUUUAUUGGGCGUAAAGAGCUCGUAGGCGGCUCAGUAAGUCGGGGUGUGAAAAACUCCAGGCUCAACCUGGAGACGCCACCUGAUACUGCUGUGGCUAGAGUCCGGUAGGGGAGCAUGGAAUUCCUGGUGUAGCGGUGAAAAUGCGCAGAUAUCAGGAGGAACACCAGUGGCGAAAGGCAGUGCUCUGGGGCCGGAAACUGACGCUGAGGGAGCGAAAAGCGUGGGGGAGCAAACAGG
rnacentral:rRNA from 1 species